rnacentral:rRNA from 1 species
CUUCCGUAGGGUGAACCUGCGGAAGGAUCAUUACCGAGUGAGGGCCCUCUGGGUCCAACCUCCCACCCGUGUUUAUUUUACCUUGUUGCUUCGGCGGGCCCGCCUUAACUGGCCGCCGGGGGGCUUACGCCCCCGGGCCCGCGCCCGCCGAAGACACCCUCGAACUCUGUCUGAAGAUUGUAGUCUGAGUGAAAAUAUAAAUUAUUUAAAACUUUCAACAACGGAUCUCUUGGUUCCGGCAUCGAUGAAGAACGCAGCGAAAUGCGAUACGUAAUGUGAAUUGCAAAUUCAGUGAAUCAUCGAGUCUUUGAACGCACAUUGCGCCCCCUGGUAUUCCGGGGGGCAUGCCUGUCCGAGCGUCAUUUCUGCCCUCAAGCACGGCUUGUGUGUUGGGCCCCGUCCUCCGAUCCCGGGGGACGGGCCCGAAAGGCAGCGGCGGCACCGCGUCCGGUCCUCGAGCGUAUGGGGCUUUGUCACCCGCUCUGUAGGCCCGGCCGGCGCUUGCCGAUCAACCCAAAUUUUUAUCCAGGUUGACCUCGGAUCAGGUAGGGAUCCCA